AGGUGAUCCCAGGUGUGCCAAGCUCGCGGCAACCCUAACAAAGAUCUACAAACGUGGCGCACCAUGGUCCCGAACCUCUAAACAAUACAUAUCAAAACAUGCACUGAAAACGCCAUUAGU